rnacentral:rRNA from 1 species
UACGUAGGGUCCGAGCGUUGUCCGGAUUCAUUGGGCGUAAAGAGCUCGUAGGCGGCUCAGUAAGUCGGAUGUGAAAACUCAGGGCUCAACCCGGAGACGCCAUCUGAUACUGCUGUGGCUUGAGUCUGGUAGGGGAGCACGGAAUACCUGGUGUAGCGGUGAAAUGCGCAGAUAUCAGGUGGAACACCGGUGGCGAAGGCGGCCUUCUGG